rnacentral:rRNA from 1 species
UACGUAGGGUGCGAGCGUUAAUCGGAAUUACUGGGCGUAAAGCGUGCGCAGGCGGUUCUCCAAGUCCGUUGUGAAAGCCCCGGGCUCAACCUGGGAAUUGCGAUGAAGACUGCAAGGCUUGAAUCUGGCAGAGGGGGGUAGAAUUCCACGUGUAGCAGUGAAAUGCGUAGAGAUGUGGAGGAACACCGAUGGCGAAGGCAGCCCCCUGGGUCAAGAUUGACGCUCAUGCACGAAAGCGUGGGGAGCAAACAGG